GACGAACGCUGGCGGCGUGCUUAACACAUGCAAGUCGAACGAAGAGCGAUGGAAGCUUGCUUCUAUCAAUCUUAGUGGCGAACGGGUGAGUAACGCGUAAUCAACCUGCCCUUCAGAGGGGGACAACAGUUGGAAACGACUGCUAAUACCGCAUACGAUCUAACCUCGGCAUCGAGGAAAGAUGAAAGGUGGCCUCUAUUUAUAAGCUAUCACUGAAGGAGGGGAUUGCGUCUGAUUAGCUAGUUGGAGGGGUAACGGCCCACCAAGGCGAUGAUCAGUAGCCGGUCUGAGAGGAUGAACGGCCACAUUGGGACUGAGACACGGCCCAGACUCCUACGGGAGGCAGCAGUGGGGAAUCUUCCGCAAUGGACGAAAGUCUGACGGAGCAACGCCGCGUGAGUGAUGACGGCCUUCGGGUUGUAAAAGCUCUGUUAAUCGGGACGAAAAGGCC
rnacentral:rRNA from 1 species